rnacentral:tRNA from 1 species
GGCAGAUUAGCCAGGGGUCGGUGGAAGGCUGGGUAAACCGUUUGGUUUUCGACCACUAGGACCCGGGUUCGAUUCCCGCAUUGGGCA